rnacentral:lncRNA from 1 species
AAAAAUAAAAGUCAUGUUAAAUUUCAAAAAAUCAGAAAAGUUUGUGUAUUUACAAGCUAAUAAACCUUUAAUUAAAGAUUUAUUUUUUAGGGGUAAUUGCCUGUAAAUCCAUAACGUUUACACGGAAUUGGUUUUUGCUCCUAUUUUGAAAAAUCUGCCCCUAAAUACAUAAUCUUUCAUUUGUGUCUGGUUUUUCUCCCGUCGCCGGUUUUUUCUUUCGCCGGUGUCAAAAAUUACACGGUGGCAGCCGGAAUCGAUGAGUUGGCAGCCGAAAAUUGACACAUAGGUAUAUUAUUGACAUGUGGAAAAAAAAUUUUUAAAAAAAAAGCAAAAAACAAAACCCAACCCCAUCGUCUUCUUCCCCCUUCCUCCUCCCCCACCCGCCGCCGCCACCCUCUGCCACCGGCGACGGCGCCCGCCGCCCCCUCCCUCUCCCCACCUCGGCGACGGCGAGCCACGCCCCCUUCUCCUCGGUUGUUCAUCUCUCUCUCCCCCUUUGAAUUUCUCAUUGAGCCCUUCCGCCAAUUUCUUCCUAUCCUUUAAUCUCCCCCAGAUUUAAACCGUCACCUGCAGCCGACUUCUUUCUAAUAAAAAAGAAGAUUAACUACUAUACAUCGAGAUUCUUCAGAGAUCGAGCAAUCUCCUCACAUCCAAAGCGCGGCUUCUUUCUCGACUCUGAUUUUCGCAAUCGAAGCAGUCGAAAACCGUGAAUAUCAACGCGUCGGUUAGAGCUACAAUCGGAAUCAAAGCCGUGUAGAAUUUCUCGGCAAAUCUCAACAAGCUCGAGCUCUGCUCAUCGCCAUUAACAUUCACGCACAACUACAAUGUCAACGAAUUCUACAGAAGCAAAUUGGGCGAGAAUUUGAGCUAAUUGAGCGAAUUGGAGCUGAAAUCAUCGUCGUUAGGGUUUUCAUUUUCGGAGUAGUAGAGAACGGCGAGCUCGGUGAGGGCGAGGACGAGGAGGGUGGAGACGUGACGGUGGGAGGUCUUGGGUCUUGGGGGCGACGAGGGGGAGGGGGCGAGAUUGGCUGCGGAGGUGGUGGGAAGGGCUGCGUGGGUACAGACCAACUGGCGCUUCUGCGGUGGCGGUAGCGGCGGCAGGGGUGGCGCCGACGGCAGAGGGUGGUGGCGGUGGGUGGGGGAGGAGGAAGGGGGAACAAGACGAUGGGGUUGGG